rnacentral:rRNA from 1 species
GUCCACGCCGUAAACGUUGCAUACUAGGUGUUGGAGGUAUACCCUCUAGUGCCGUCGCAAACGCAGUAAGUAUGCCGCCUGGGGAGUACGCUCGCAAGAGUGAAACUCAAAGAAAUUGACGGGGGCCCCGCACAAGCGGUGCAGCAUGUGGUUUAAUUCGAUGAUACGCGAGAAACCUUACCUGGGCUUGAACUGUGCAUGACCGGUACAGAGAUGUACCUUUCCUUCGGGACAUGUACAGAGGUGCUGCAUGGUCGUCGU